CAGGGAAUGGCUCCCACUGCCAGAGGGCAGGGAUGGAUGGGAGAUUGGGAAUUAGGAAUUGUUCCCUGGGAGGGUGGGCAGGCCCUGGCACAGGGUGCCCAGAGCAGCUGGGGCUGCCCCUGGAUCCCUGGCAGUGCCCAAGGCCAGGCUGGGCAUUGGGGCUGGGAGCAGCCUGGGACAGUGGGAGGUGUCCCUGCCAUGGCAGGGGUGGCACUGGAUGG